AUUGAACGCUGGCGGAAUGCUUUACACAUGCAAGUCGAGCGGCAGCACGGGGGUAACCCUGGUGGCGAGCGGCGAACGGGUGAGUAAUACAUCGGAACAUGCCCAGUCGUGGGGGAUAACACUUCGAAAGAAGUGCUAAUACCGCAUACGUCCUGAGGGAGAAAGCGGGGGAUCGCAAGACCUCGCGCGAUUGGAGUGGCCGAUGUCAGAUUAGCUAGUUGGUGGGGUAAAGGCCUACCAAGGCAACGAUCUGUAGCUGGUCUGAGAGGAUGAUCCGCCACACUGGGACUGAGACACGGCCCAGACUCCUACGGGAGGCAGCAGUGGGGAAUUUUGGACAAUGGGGGCAACCCUGAUCCAGCCAUUCCGCGUGAGUGAAGAAGGCCUUCGGGUUGUAAAGCUCUUUCGGCAGGAACGAAACGGUGAGCUCUAACAUAGCUUGCUAAUGACGGUACCUGAAGAAGAAGCACCGGCUAACUACGUG
rnacentral:rRNA from 1 species